GAUGAACGCUGGCGGCGUGCCUAAUACAUGCAAGUCGAGCGAAGCGGGGACGGGUGAGUAACACGUGGAUAACCUCCUAUAAGACUGGGAUAACUUAGGGAAACCGGAGCUAAACCGGAUACUUAUAGAUGGAUCCGCGCUGCAUUAGCUAGUUGGUAAGGUAACGGCUGACCAAGGCAACGAUGCAUAGCCGACCUGAGAGGGGAGUCAUCCUCACUGGAACUGCGACACGGGCCAGACUCCUCCAAGAAUCACCAUUAUAUAAUCUUCCGCAAUUGGCGAAAGCCUGACUGAGCAACGCCGCGUGAGUGAUGAACAUCUUCGGAUCUUAAAACUCUGUUAUUAGGGAAGCGGUACCUAAUCAGAAAGCCACGGCUAGCUACGUGCCAGCAGCCGCGGUAAUAC
rnacentral:rRNA from 1 species